rnacentral:lncRNA from 1 species
UGGCGGCAGAAGACAAUGGAUGACAUUGUAGGCCUCAGCAACUAAACCUGAGAACCCUGGGGACCUGGCCACAUCUCUCUAAUCGGAUCCGAAAGCUGCAUUCCUUCAGUUCCCCCCAGGUUGCUGCGAAUUCCUCCAGCUUAUUAAGCAGAAGAAGAAACUGAGACCCAGAGAGGGAACAUGAACCUGCCUAAGCUCACACAUCAAGCAGAGACAACAAUGAAAUUCAAGAAUCCUGUCUCCUUCCAACAUGCUGCGUGGUAAGGAGGGCGUUGUUAAAUGACCUCGAAACUCAGCUCCAAGAAAUGAAAGGACCUUCCAGAUUCUUCCAGAUUCUAUAGAAACACUGUGGAUCUUUCUCAAGAACACAGCAUGCUAGGAUUCCAUCAGUCUUCAGAGGGACAGCAUUUUAGAAUGUUCAAAGGCUGAGAAGAAGGGCCAGGAAUUCAGGAGGCGCCGCGUUGCUUUGCCCCUUUUGAAUUCGCCGUGAAACCAGAUCCCGCCUGCCUUCUACCAAGAAGGUGCCCGGAAAAUCUGCAACCCAGGCACACAAGCGGGAGAAGUUCCAGGCCCAAGGGCUACAGGUCAGCCAGGGUCUCCGGCCCCCCGUCCUGUUCACCACCCACAGAUGCCCCUGCCAGCUGCUCCAGGAGAGAGGCCCAGAGCUGAAAUGGCACGCCUGCGUGCGUGCCGCAUAGCAGGAGGACAAUCUUGGCAGGCCUCUAUGGGAAGCUUGC